rnacentral:lncRNA from 1 species
UUAUGUUCCACGGAAAACAACAGACUCGUUUUGUACCCAAAUUUGGAGACGACCGUUUCAUUCCAAUUCCUCAAAGAUCCGCUCCGCUCUAACAAAAAGGUACACCACACCUCCUUUAUUUUUCAUUUGUUAUUUUUCUGAAUUUUCCUUUCAAUCGGAAUAUUUUCUUUUGCAGAUCUAUCAAAAAAUUCUUACUGUGGAGCAUCUUAUGUCUUCAUUUGCUUGGUUUAUGUGUUGUUCAAUGUUCUAUUUGUUAAUUUGAUUUGUUACCUUUCGUUUAAACUUAAUGUCAAUUUGGUUGGUUUGUUGAAUCCAGAAAGAUCCUUUGAACUUUUAUUUUCCUUUGUUUACUCGGUUUGCUAGCUUCUUCAUUUUAA